CCUACGGGCGGCAGCAGUGAGGAAUAUUGGUCAAUGGACGAGAGUCUGAACCAGCCAAGUAGCGUGAAGGAUGACUGCCCUAUGGGUUGUAAACUUCUUUUAUAUGGGAAUAAAAUGUUCCACGUGUGGGAUUUUGUAUGUACCAUAUGAAUAAGGAUCGGCUAACUCCGUGCCAGCAGCCGCGGUAAUACGGAGGAUCCGAGCGUUAUCCGGAUUUAUUGGGUUUAAAGGGAGCGUAGGUGGAUUGUUAAGUCAGUUGUGAAAGUUUGCGGCUCAACCGUAAAAUUGCAGUUGAAACUGGCAGUCUUGAGUACAGUAGAGGUGUGCGGAAUUCGUGGUGUAGCGGUGAAAUGCUUAGAUAUCACGAAGAACUCCGAUUGCGAAGGCAGUUCACUGGACUGCAACUGACACUGAGGCUCGAAAGUGUGGGUAUCAAACAGGAUUAGAUACCCUAGUAGUC
rnacentral:rRNA from 1 species